rfam:Manacus vitellinus contig32769, whole genome shotgun sequence.
CCCCUGGUGGUCUAGUGGUUAGGUUGCAGCACUCUCACCACUGCGACCCGGGUUCAAUUCCCAGUCAGGGAA